CCUUUGUAACUGCCACGUGGCCAACGCGCUUACAAUGGCGGCGGGAGCAGAGGAGUUUUCUGUGACGGAAAUCGCAAACUGCACAGCGUAAAGCCUAUACAGCCGUCAUCUCUUCAAGAAAAUGACAAAGUUUCUUGCAAUUAUUGUUGCAUUUCUGUUUGCCACCGUCUUGUCAUGCAAUAUGAUAAACGGGGAAUGUUGGUUUAACUUCACGAAGAUUGAAGAUGGAGACUAUUAUGGGUUGGAAAGGCCAUGCAUCGGAAUCGUCUGUAACAGCAGUAUGCUACAAAUUCAAGAGUAAGGCAUCAGUUUUGUUACGGCUUAUUGAACAUU
rnacentral:lncRNA from 1 species